GACAGAGGGGGCAAGCGUUGCUCGGAAUUACUGGGCGUAAAGGGCGCGUAGGCGGGAUGGCAAGUCGGUCGUGAAAUCCUUCGGCUCAACCGAAGAACGUCGAUCGAUACUGCUGUUCUUGAGGGUUGCAGAGGAGACUGGAAUUCCCGGUGUAGCGGUGAAAUGUGUAGAGAUCGGGAGGAACACCAGUGGCGAAGGCGGGUCUCUGGACAGUUCCUGACGCUGAGGCACGAAGGCCAGGGGAGCAAACGGG
rnacentral:rRNA from 1 species